CAAGUGCCGAGGGUGACGUGAGUGCAUUGACUGGCCACAGUCCCACUCUGCCCUACAAGAAAUGGCUCCUGCAAGGCCGGUCUGCUGCAACAAAGUCUGUAGGGAUCGCGGGGUCAGCGCGGGAGUGCCUCUACGAUGCCAUGAGCCAUGCAACCCUAACUCAGGCUGGCUUCAACAGAGAUGCAAUCAUUGGGGGUUUGAGGACGAGCGCAGUUUCUCUCCUGACGGCGGGAGAGGAGCCCUACGUGGCGCUGUUCAAAGGGCGUCACGAACCAACGCCCCUGCACGUCUCGGACGUGGCCAAGCAGCUCGCCUCAGCCCUCACC
rnacentral:lncRNA from 1 species